GAGUUUGAUCGUGGCUCAGGAUGAACGCUGGCGGCGUGCCUAAUACAUGCAAGUCGAGCGAACAGACGAGGAGCUUGCUCCUCUGACGUUAGCGGCGGACGGGUGAGUAACACGUGGAUAACCUACCUAUAAGACUGGGAUAACUUCGGGAAACCGGAGCUAAUACCGAAUAAUAUAUUGAACCGCAUGGUUCAAUAGUGAAAAACGGUUUCGCUGUCACUUAUAGAUGGAUCCGCGCCGCAUUAGCUAGUUGGUAGGGUAACGGCUUACCAAGGCGACGAUGCGUAGCCGACCUGAGAGGGUGAUCGGCCACACUGGAACUGAGACACGGUCCAGACUCCUACGGGAGGCAGCAGUAGGGAAUCUUCCGCAAUGGGCGAAAGCCUGACGGAGCAACGCCGCGUGAGUGAUGAAGGUCUUCGGAUCGUAAAACUCUGUUAUUAGGGAAGAACAAAUAGUGUAAGUAACUAUGCACGUCUUGACGGUACCUAAUCAGAAAGCCACGGCUAACUACGUGCCAGCCG
rnacentral:rRNA from 1 species